AGUAGGACACGGAAGUGUCAGUCUCGUCUGCUCUACGCUUCACUGACAAUCAUUUUCAUUCUCACCGCCCGUUUUGGUUUUCUGUGUGAAUUAAAUAAUGCCAGCUCAUUGUUGCGUACCGAUGUGUAAUGGGAAAGGUGGGCAUAAAUUUCCGCUGGACCCUGUUGGGAGACGGCGAUGGAUUCAGGCCGUAAAAAGAGGAGAAAGUGACUGGACACCGUCUAAGUGGAGUAUUGUUUGUCGAUCGCAUUUUGAUUCUUCUAACUACAUUUCCGAAACCAAAGAAAGGGAUCAAAUGGUCAAUAGUAUAUUGAAGCCAGGAGCGAUUCCACAUUUAUUUGCUUGGAAAAGAACAAGUUUAUCAGGUAGUAGGCGCAGAGAAAGAGCCCUACAUAAACAACAAAGUAUUAACAAAAUCGAGAGACUGGAAAGCUUGUCAACUUCUGAAAAUGUAGGAAACGAAGUUGAAAUAGAAUACAUCGAAGAGGACUUUACUCCUAUCGAAGUUAAAAGUGAACCUGAUACAAAAGACUCUGCUACUCAAGUUGAUAUGUCAAUGCGCUUCUGUGCCCGAAAAUACAUGUUGAGUUCGGAGAAAUUUCUAU